CGACCGGGGAGGUGGGAUGUGGGGAACAGAGGCUAGAGAGGUACUAAGGGCAAAAAUCUCAGAGGUAGGAAGAAAGGAUAAAUAAUAGCUUGCUGAGCAGAAAUAGGGAAAUUGGAAGGGGGAUAUGAUCUGAGAGAGUUUAAUCUGCCUUAACCGUACUUGAGGCAGAGAGAGGGGCCAAGGGUACAGGCUUCUGCCUUCUGAUCUCAUGGUCUGGUGAAGCAGACAGGAAAGAUACUAGCCUGCAAGACUGAAUGAAAGAAAUUCACUGACAAACUGGCAAAAUCAAUUGCUGGAUGCCAGAGAAAGGGGUUUGAAGAACUGUGAUCAGCUCACAUUUACAGAGGAGGAAACUGAGGCUCAGAGUCGCGGAGAUGGAACUUGAAUCUUUGCUCAGCUCUACAGCCUACGUGCUCACGUUGCCCCUGAGGAGCCUGCAGAGAAGGUUCCCAUGCACACCGCAGCUCCCUGCCCUGGGCUCACCUGGCAAGUGACAGAGCAACAGGGUGGAUCACCUCCACCCACUCCCACUGAAGGUGCCUGGAGGAAACUUCCCCACCUGCUGACUGAAUUCAUGACCUUUAACUCAAGCAGCCUGGGGCAUCUGGGCCUCUGUCAGGUCCUUGAUGGCCUCACGCUCCCUGAUGAUGGUUUCGCACUGUCUCAUCUGACCUCGCCCCUCCUGGAAGCACCCCGGGCCCCAGCUGCUGUGCUCUGAGGUUUACAGUGGGAAAGACUGUCUCUGACAUCAGAGGUCGGCGCGGAGGUCAGGCUGAGCUUCAGACGGGGGUUCCGGCCCACCCCGAGUACAUGGAGGGCCGCCCCAGAGGCCUGCCCUGCCCACGCCCCUGCCCCAUCCCCAGGGCCAGCUCAGCCAGCAGUCACUCCUCUUCCCUUAUUCCCCCUGUGGCAUCUGCUUUUGGGGAGUACAGGUAUUUGAGCAGAGGUUCUAUAGAUACUUUGUUUUUCUUUGGAUGUGCAGGGUUGACAUCUGCCCACUGUGAGGACAACAAUGGGGCCCUGAGACCAGGAUCCAUGUGCCAUAGGACUGUGACUCACCUGGGCAAGGGAGGGGGACACGAAGGGACACAUGGAAGAUUCACGGCCACUCCAGCUUCCGGCCUACAGAGCUGCCCUCUGUUCCACCCUGGUUGCCUGUGCCAGCUCCGCCUCAACAGCACCUGGUAUUCAGGAGAAAGGCAAUGUCAUUUGAGCUGAGCAGCAAAACCCCUCUGAGCCUAAGUGGCCCCGGCUGACAGGGCAUCAAGAUUACAGGGUGGAGACAUCUAACUUGGCUCCAGACUCCCCCUACCCCAGGCCACUGUCCUUUGGCUCACAAGUCUCUUUGUGAGCCAGUUUGUUUAAGGAGCUUUAAAAAUAUAUUAGAAAGCAACGCUUUUAAGGCAUUUGGUUUCUAAUAGCAGUCUAGCUCCCCAACUCUGAGGCAGGCUCCUCCUUCAGGCUACAAGCCAGGGGACCUCCUUGAGUGGCAAGUGUUGCUUAAAACCACAAAUCCCAGAGUUGACCCUGGCAGGCUGAGUGUCCAUCAGGACGCCUGCGCAUGUAGAUGACAUGUCUUUUACCCACGAAAGAGUCUCCUGAGAAAUCAAAGUUGAAGAAGUGACAGAUGUCCAUAAAGUCCCCUCAGUGGAGGAGGUGGUCAUCCUUCAGUGGAGUUGGCAUCCUUCUGACAGGGAGACUAGGCUGGGCACUUUGCAGGAAGCGGGCUGGUUGGCUUCCCUGGCUCCCUAUACGCUGCUCAGCCCCAGAAGACCCAAGUGCAAAGGCCGCACUUUCCAGCACAGGAGCUGGGGGUGGGGAAGGGUAGAGGCAGGAGACGAUGCCUUGCACUUGUUUCUGAGAGCCACAAGACAGAGCUCAGGUUAAAGAGGCCACCUCUGCAGAGUCACUGUUGUAGGUGCUGGGAAGAAAGGGCCAGAGGCUGAGAAGGAAGAGCACUGCAUCUCCACACCAAGACUUCACUCUGUGAAGUCCCAGGUCCUGGCAGCGUGGCCUUCUGUCCUGUCCCUCUGCCUGCCAGGCCAACUCCCUCAUCUUAGUUCUCUCCCAGGGCCCUUGCCCUUACCCCAUAGCAGCCACUGCCUUCGUGCAAGUCUCCUGAGCUUCCCCGGUGCCCACUUGCCUGUCCAGAGAAGGUCCAGUCUGCAAUCUGAGAGCCUGCUGCCACCCUAACCCCCAGAGUGGGGACCUGGGAAAUGCAGAAGGCUGCUCAGGAUAGCUUGAGCUCUGACUGGCCACAGAGACUGGCGCCCUCCCUACAGACUCCCAGCCUGCCCCUGUAGGGUCUCCCAUAGGGCCUGGAGUUACCAAAAUGAUGGUAACAAGGUCAAGAUUCCAAGCUGCACUUGCUGCCUCGUCAAGUUGUUCAAAUAAGACAGUGUGGGGAAGAUGCCCAAGGUGAAUCCAGCGCAGGAGCUGCUGGUGGGAAGGGAUGUUGGGCAGACCUGGGUCUAUUUUCUUCCCCAUCCCUUGCAAGAAUGUCCAUGCCUUUUCAUCUCUCAUAUGUCCAAUAGCUCAAGCUUACCUCCCUCUCAGCGAUUCCAUGGCUUCCUGUUUAACAGAGAAAACCAACAAGCUACCCCGAUUUUAUCAAUAGCCAGCUAUUUCACUUAAGCACUGGGCCCUGCCCUACUUCCUACUCAAGGGCAUCCCUCCUGCAAUUGACCUCUAUCCACCUGCACCCCACCUUUGGCAUCACUUUAGAGCCCAUGAAAUCACGCUGAGAGAGCAAACAUUGAGGUAUGAUUGGAAUAUAAAAGGCGCCCAUUGUUAAGUGUAAAGUUAGAUGAGUUUUGACAAAUGUAUACACCUGGCGUCACCACUGCCACCACUGUCAAGUUACAGAACCUUCCCACCACCCUGUAAGGAACCCCACUGCUGAGAAGUAUGCCCUUGUGCGGACACCGCACAAUUUGUUCAUUUGCCUGUUGAUAACAUAAUUGGGCUGUUUGUACCUUUUGGCUAUUGUGAAUAAACAUAUA